ACGCAUGCAUUCAUGUCAGUCCACAAACAGUAAGCACGUAGCAGCCUCGUGGUUUAUGCACCUCCUGAACCAGCAGCCUUCUCUGCCUGCGCAGACUCACUCCACUCCUUUGCAUGCACCCCUUCCCCAGCUUGAGGCAGUGCAUGGGAGCUCUCUGCAUAUGUUUGAGAGAAAGCUGUACUGUAGAGGAGUUAAGGAGCCAUCCAAAAGGAUGGGGGAGGGGGCAGGCGGAGGAAGGACGUGGGAAUGUGUCAGCAUGGUGCCCAUAUAGGGUAUCGCUUCGUCCUCAAGCCGGCAAAUGGCUUAGAUGCGGUGCGCACAAAGACAGCUCUACGCUGCAGAUAUACAUAUUAUAUGUGUGUGUGUGUGUGUGUGUGUGUGUCGAACGCGACGGCCGCUACGCGUACCUCAUCCUUUGGUGCUUGUUUGCUUUGGCGCUUCACCUCCUUCGUCCUUCCUUCGCAUGCCGCUGAGUCAGUCCUCCUGUGCAGGGGCUGUUUCGCCGGUUCGUGACGCGUGUGUCAAUACACUCGCAUGCAUGCACGCGCUUGUUGCUCUGUUACCCCGUCCCCUUUUCACAGCGCCUUUU
rnacentral:misc_RNA from 1 species